rnacentral:rRNA from 1 species
GACGAACGCUGGCGGCGUGCUUAACACAUGCAAGUCGAACGAAGUGGCGAACGGGUGAGUAAUACGUUGGUAACCUGCCCUCCUUUUUGGGAUAAGCCUUGGUAACGGGGUCUACUUCCGAAUUAAGGGGGAUGGGGUCGCGGCUUAUUAGUUUGUUGGUGGGGUGAUGGCUUACCAAGGCGUUGACGGGUAGCCGGCCUGAGAGGAUGACCGGCCACAUUGGGACUGAGAUACGGCCCAGACUCCUACGGGAGGCAGCAGUGGGGAAUCUUCGGCAAUGGGCGAAAGUCUGACCGAGCAACGCCGCGUGAGUGAAGAAGGCCUUAGGGUUGUAAAGUACUUUCAGCGGGGAGGCGUUACCCGCAGAAGAAGCACCGGCUAACUCCGUGCCAGCAGCCGCGGUAAUAC